rnacentral:rRNA from 1 species
UACGGAGGGUGCGAGCGUUGUCCGGAAUCACUGGGCGUAAAGGGCGCGUAGGCGGCGCGGGCAGUCAACGGUGAAAGCUCGGAGCUCAACUCCGAGUCGGCCGUCGAUACUCCCGUGCUUGAGCACUGUAGAGGCAGGUGGAAUUCCGGGUGUAGCGGUGGAAUGCGUAGAGAUCCGGAGGAACACCAGUGGCGAAGGCGACACGCUGGGCCAUACCUGACGCUAAAGCGCGACAGCAUGGGGAGCAAACGGG